rnacentral:rRNA from 1 species
ACGCUGGCGGCACGCCUAACACAUGCAAGUCGAACGAAGUAGCAAUACUUAGUGGCAGACGGGUGAGUAACAUGUAGGUAUCUACCCUUUGGCCUGGAAUAACACGAGGAAACUUGUGCUAAUACCGGAUAAGUCUUUACGGAGAAAGCUUUAUGCACCAUUGGAUGAGCCUGCACUUGAUUAGUUUGUUGGUGGGGUAAUGGCCUACCAAGACUGUGAUCAAUAGCUGAUUUGAGAGGAUGAUCAGCCACAUUGGGACUGAGACACGGCCCAAACUCCUACGGGAGGCAGCAGUGGGGAAUCUUGCACAAUGGAGGAAACUCUGAUGCAGCGAUGCCGCGUGAGUGAAGAAGGCCUUUGGGUUGUAAAGCUCUUUCGUCGGGGAAGAAAAUGACUGUACCCGAAUAAGAAGGUCCGGCUAACUUCGUGCCAGCAGCCGCGGUAAUACGAAGGGACCUAGCGUAGUUCGGAAUUACUGGGCUUAAAGAGUUCGUAGGUGGUUGAAAAAGUUAGUGGUGAAAUCCCAGAGCUUAACUCUGGAACUGCCAUUAAAACUUUUCAGCUAGAGUAUGAUAGAGGAAAGCAGAAUUUCUAGUGUAGAGGUGAAAUUCGUAGAUAUUAGAAAGAAUACCAAUUGCGAAGGCAGCUUUCUGGAUCAUUACUGACACUGAGGAACGAAAGCAUGGGUAGCGAAGAGGAUUAGAUACCCUCGUAGUCCAUGCCGUAAACGAUGUGUGUUAGACGUUGGAAAUUUAUUUUCAGUGUCGCAGCGAAAGCGAUAAACACACCGCCUGGGGAGUACGA